UACGUAGGGCGCAAGCGUUGUCCGGAAUUAUUGGGCGUAAAGAGCUCGUAGGCGGUUUGUCGCGUCGGCCGUGAAAACCUACAGCUUAACUGUGGGCUUGCGGUCGAUACGGGCAGACUUGAGUUCGGCAGGGGAGACUGGAAUUCCUGGUGUAGCGGUGAAAUGCGCAGAUAUCAGGAGGAACACCGGUGGCGAAGGCGGGACUCUGGGCUGUAACUGACACUGAGGAGCGAAAGCAUGGGGAGCGAACAGG
rnacentral:rRNA from 1 species